GCUUCACAUGAUGAUUUACUAUUUUUUAUCACGACGGUCAACAUAAGGAAUUUAAAUUGAUGACCACUGCCUGUGACAGGGCAUUAACUGAAC
rfam:Talaromyces stipitatus ATCC 10500 scf_1105507295523 genomic scaffold, whole genome shotgun sequence.